rnacentral:rRNA from 1 species
GUGGGGAAUAUUGCGCAAUGGGCGAAAGCCUGACGCAGCAACGCCGCGUGAAGGAUGAAGGCCUUCGGGUCGUAAACUUCUGUCAGGUGGGACGAAAGCUUCUCGGUCAAUAGCCGAGCAGUUUGACGGUACCACCGGAGGAAGCCCCGGCUAACUCCGUGCCAGCAGCCGCGGUAAUACGGAGGGGGCAAGCGUUAUUCGGAUUUAUUGGGCGUAAAGGGCGCGUAGGCGGCGCGAUAAGUCAAAGGUGAAAUCCCUCGGCUCAACCGAGGAACUGCCUUUGAAACUGUCACGCUAGAGUCCGGGAGAGGGUAGCGGAAUUCCCAGUGUAGCGGUGAAAUGCGUAGAUAUUGGGAGGAACACCAGUGGCGAAGGCGGCUACCUGGACCGGUACUGACGCUGAGGUGCGAAAGCGUGGGGAGCAAACAGG